GGGGAUGGGGCAUGGAGACCGGCUACAUGGGAAUGCCGGACGUGUAUUCCGGCGAGUUCCCGAAGAUCGCCGACCAGGCGGCGGCCGAGCAGUGCGCGCCCCGUAAGAGCGACCCGUUCCUGCUGGGAUAUUUCAUCGCCAACGAACCGCCAUGGCCCGGCCGUGAGUCAUUGGUGGUGGACGUCAUUCUGGAACGGCCGCCGAGCGCGAUCCAGCGCGAAGCGAAGGCUUUUCUGGCGGACUCCGACACGCCGGAGCGGCGCAAGCAGUUCAUCUACCGGGCGUUUGACAAGUAUCUGGAGGUGAUCAACGCGGCCAUCCGACGGCACGACCCCAACCAUCUGAACCUCGGGCUGCGCUUCGGGGGCGGAGUUCCGCCGGAGGAUAUGCUGCGCGCGUCAAAGGCCUUCGACGUUUACAGCAUGAACGUCUAUUCGACGUCGGUAAACGUGAAGGUGAUGGAGGAGAUCCACCGGGUGACGGGGCGGCCAAUCAUCGUCGGCGAGUUCCAUUUUGGCGUACCGGGCCGGGGCCUGGCCGCGGGGCUGGUGCAGGUGCGGGACCAGGCCGAGCGCGGGGUCGCCUAUCGGUACUACGUGGAACAGGCGGCGUCCUUUCCGGCAUUCAUCGGAUCGAGCUGGUUCCAAUGGGUGGAUCAGCCAUCGACGGGGCGGAUGGACGGGGAGAACUACAACAUCGGCCUGGUGGACGUCACAGACCGGCCGUACCGGGAUCUGAUCGAGGCGAUCAAGACGACGCAUCGGCGGCUGCACGGAGUGCACGCGGGGAAGACGGCUCCGUUCGACGUGAGGCCGAAAGCGCAGUGAGGGAUUGAGCGGGCGGCUCAAGUCGCGCACCAUUCGACACAGUUCGGACAGGAAGCGGGAGGAGACAUGAAGCUCGGGCAUCGUUCGACGAAGAGCGUGGAAAAAGGCGAUUCCUUUCCACUCGGCGCCACGCUAUGCGCGGAUGGCGUCAACUUCGCCAUCUAUUCGAAGCAUGCGACGGAGGUGUUUCUGCUUCUGUUCGACACGGCCGAAGCAGAGCCGACGGAUAUCAUUCAGUUACAGGGCCGCGAAAGGUUCAUCUGGCAUGUGCGGGUCAAGGGAUUGAGAGCGGGGCAGCUUUACGGUUAUAAGGUCCGCGGCGAGUAUCGCCCCGAGUGGGGAUUCCGCUUCAACGACUCAAAGCUGCUCCUGGAUCCGUACGCCAAAGCGGUCAGCGGGAAGUUCCACAACGCCGACAACCUGUUGCUCCCCUACGAUCCCCGGCCUGGCGCGGGAGACCUGACUCCCGACACGCGCGACAACACGGCCAUCGUGCCGAAGGGGAUCGUCGUCGACGACGCCUUCGACUGGCAGGGCGUUCGUUCGCCCGGCCUCGGGCUGGAGCAGCUUGUGAUCUACGAGGUGCACGUCAAAGGAUUCACGGCGCACGCUUCCUCCGGCGCGGGCUCCCCCGGAACCUACUUUGGGUUCAUCGAGAAGAUCCCGCACCUUAGCCGGCUCGGCGUCAAUGCGGUGGAACUGCUGCCGGUCCACGAAUACUACGUCGACGACUUCCUGAUUCAGAGAGGGCUGACCAACUACUGGGGUUACAACUCAAUCGGAUUCUUCGCGCCCGAAUCGUCUUACGGCAGCGGGCGGGCGCCAGGCUGCCAGGUCGCCGAGUUCAAGACGUUGGUGCGGGAACUCCAUCGGGCGGGCAUCAAGGUCAUCCUCGACGUCGUUUACAACCACACCGGCGAGGGGAGCGAACUGGGCCCCAUGAUGUGCUUUCGCGGCGUGGACAACCUCUCCUAUUACAGCCUCACCGGACCCGUGGACGCGCCGCGCCGUUACUGCAUGAACUACACGGGCUGCGGCAACAGUCUCAAUUUCGACAGCCCGGCCGUCAUCCGGCUGGCCAUGGAUUCACUGCGGUACUGGUUCGAGACGAUGCACGUGGACGGAUUCCGAUUCGACCUGGCCUCCGUGCUCGGCCGUACCCACGAUGGCUCAUUCCACUCGUCGGCAGCCUUCUUCGACGCGGUCU
rnacentral:misc_RNA from 1 species